rnacentral:hammerhead_ribozyme from 1 species
AUCCAGCGGGCGAGUCCUAAAUGGGACGAAACGCGCGUUUUGUAU